UUCUUUUGGAAACUAUAAAAGUAGCGCAUUUUAGACGUCACCACCGCCUUUCUUCCUCUGAUUUCAAAUUAAAGAACCGGAGCUUCCAUCCGCUACCGGCGCAUCUUAGAGUAGUCCACCGAAUUGCUGCUCUUAACUGUCCAUUGACAAUUUGACGUUGUUCGAUCAAAGCCCUAAAUCAAUCUAUCUGCUAAGGAGACGGGAAGCGUUAAGCUAUUUUGGUCAGAGGUUUUCUCGUAUGAUUUCACAAGGGUUGUUGAGGAAUUGGUUUUCAACAGCCUUGAUGCUGGUGCCCUUCCAAAGUUUUAAUAUUCCUUAUUGAAUGGAAAGAUGUGAAGUUGUUCUUGAAGGCCCCACUUGAACAACUCUAAAAGACACUCAAUUGGACAGAUUUUCGUUAACGCCCUCAGUGGCCAUUUUCCUUUACACCGGUCUAGACUUUUUGACUUUGAUUGUUUCUUAAAAAGGGGAAAUUAUGCCAUGUAAGAAAAUGGGGAAUAAUAUGGUUCAUGUUCUCUGAUUUUGUAAAUGUUUGGAGGAUGUGGGCUGCGGGGAACAUCAUAGUUAAGUGACUAACGAUGGCAAGUCGUGCUUUCAUGUAGUUUUAAUUGUUUAGACUUAUCGUACCAGUGAGUCUGUGUGUUGCUUGCGCAAAUGGCAUUGAUCGGUGAGGCUCUUCAAUGAAUUCUUAUGUUCCUUUGGUUACCAUUACUUCCUUACAAGACUGUUCUUGUUCUUUUGUGUUUGUUAUUCUUAUAUUCUUAUAACUAGUGUAAUCCUAAGUUUCCACUUUCCACUCUCCAGCAGGUAUCUAUUGCUAUAGGCAUUGGGACCUGCUAUGUUAAGGUGGAUGACAAUGUUAAGUAUUAGUUUCUUUGAUAUUGAUGUGCAGAAAGCUCUGCUCAGUUUGUGCUUCAUCACCUGAAGUUGUACUUUCUUUUGAUGGUGUCUCACGAGAUGGACAGGUGCUUAUGAGAGAAACAUAUGGUGAUAUUUUUGCAAAAUGCUGGACUAACGUCAUAUUUUCUAUUGUAUUGCUGCUGCUGUUUGCAUGACAACUAUGAUGUUCAUAGAUUGGAAUGGUUGUUGUUGUUUAUACAAUUGCAUGCAUUGCUCAACUGAUAGGCUCUUUGACGGUUUGUGUUCAUUAAUAUCUUUUUAUAGAUGUUAUUUUAUUUAUUAUUUUGUGAUUUUACUUGUAAUUGGGAGGACUGGUAUGGCUGCACAAAACAUUGAUUUUUUUAGAUUUAGAUUUUGGUUUUAUUGCAAGAUGUUCACGUACAUUGCAUUCCCGGUUCUUCAUUUGCUAAAAUAUAUUUUCUCUACCUGUGCCGCGUCCCCAAAAAGGGGAGGGCUGGAAGUGUGUAUAUAUACACACACACAAAGAGAGUGAGAUAUGAAAUAUAUUUUUUGUUGCUCACUACUGUAUGUAGAGAUGUUUUAAUUACUUAUUCUAGCUGAAGUUGAGUUGGAACAUACAUAUUGGUGCUUAGGUACUUUUAGCCCAGCUUAUAGAGACAGUAUAUGUGCCUGAUUCUUUCAUCUUCUGUUGUGUUUCCUUUUUGUCUGGCCAUUUGAACUAUGGUUUUGAAUGCUUGCUUUACACCAGCGACAUCGAAAUACAACAUUUCAGAUGAUAUGCAUGCUUUACCCCACAAGCUUUGGCUGAAAAGUAGAGGCUCCGAACUCUUAGAUAUCGGAUGCUUUUUGUUGGAAAUUGGUACUAAAAUCACAGGAGGCCAGAUGGACAUUGUAAGGUUUUAAAGGUACAGUUUUUUUGAGUUUUAGUUGGUACUUGGUAGUAUCCAUUAGGAUAGGUAUAAAACUACUAACUUUGUCUUUGUUCUUGCCGUUGUUUACAAGACGGCAAGUGUUUGUACCUUGGAGUCGAUGAUUGGAGACAAAAUAAUUGUAUAACAGGUAAUCUGUAUAUAAUACAUGUGUUGAGUGUUGACUACUGUUUGCUCAUAAGUAAAUUUUUUGGGAUUUUUCUCUUUGUAGUCGUUGUUCGUGAUGCUAUUACGACCAACCAGUUCGAUGGUAGCAAAUGCACUCCAAGUACUUCUAAUUUUCUUACAAUUCAAACAAAUAAAAAAUAUUGAUUUACAUAUUUUACUUCUAAAGUUGUACUCCAUCCCGGUUGAUCUUUAGGUUUGCAUAUAUAAUCUGGAAGGCCAAUGAGGGUCUUGAAUUCUCUGAAGAGUCUCUGUUAAACAUCGCCCUUGUGCAUCCGAGUGUCUCUUUCAAAAUUGUUGAUAUUGAAAGGUCCAUCUUUGUUAUACCAGCUAACUUAAGGAUAUUAGCGGUCUAGUUUCUUAGAUUUUGUGCAUUUGCAUGCAGCGAGGAGGACCUGCUUUGCAUACUUGCUUCUCCUUGGAGCUACUCUUAUCUUGGUGAGGCAACCCGUUAAGGCAUCUCCGUUUUGCAACCGAAAUCUGCAGCCAUGGCGGUUGCUUUGUCUCCUUUUGUCUGGUUUAAUAACAAAUUUGAGCCUCAGGAGAAAUAAAUGGCUAAAAGACGCUUCAAGUUUUGUGAAUUCUCUUUUGUUAGGUUAGCCUUAAAAAGGCAAGAAUGAGGCAGCAGAAAGUAUGGGAUUUCUAUGGAGAGUGGUUGCCUUUCUCUCUAUGCUUUGCCUAUGAUUCUCCAUUUAUUAGAACAAACCAACAUCCCUUAAAAAAGAAAGAGACAGAGAGAGUACACUUGAGUUUCUGGGUUUCUUUGAUUUUUUCCACCUUAGAAGUAUGCUCAUAAGUUGAUACACACAACUACACUACAACAACACGACUAUGAAAAUUAUUAAAGAAGCAGUGAUGAUUUCUGGGCUAACUAAAUUCAGGCAUUGAGAUUGCCCAACCUUUAUCUUGGAGGGGCAACCCAGUAUGUCCUGUAAUUGAGAUGCAUAACUCACACAUGCAACCGAGUGUUGCAGCUAUGGCGUGGUUGGCCUUUCUUUCGCCUUAUCAUUACACAAAUCUGAGCCUCAAUUUGCUAAAGAAAAAAGGGUAAAGGGUCAAAUUUAACCUUUUACUCUGCAUAAGGGGCAAUAACUUUUCCAUGAUUAAUGGGGGUGAUAUUGAACCCACGCCCUUCUGAUUUGCAGUUUUAAUGUUUUUCAUUCGCGAUGUAUCUCCAUCUUUUGAUAAGUAACAAGCUCUGUUUUUUUUUAAAUAAGUCCCACAAGGGGAGUGUAUUGAUAAGUCAAAAGGAGAUGGAGAGGGGGGCUGGAGCCUAACCUCUGCAUACAAAUAAGUACAAAUACAAUUUGACCUAAGCAAUAUACAACAUGGAGAUGAAACUCCUGAGCAAGAGCCAAGAGCUCACAAAAGUACCAAGUGUAAAGACACUCAGUAAAUCCAAAAGAGAUAAAUCAGCUCAAGAAUGAGGCAUUUGAAUGAAAUGUUGGAUUUUUGAGGGGUGGUUGCCUCCUUAUCUGGAAAGCUCUGAUAUUUUUGGAAGUUCUGCACCUAUGUUGAGGAGUUGGUUUUCAACAGCCUCGAUGCUGGUGCCACCAAGGACUGAGAGAACGCAAACGGAAUUCAUCCAUGCUGUUGUUGCCAUAUAUCUCCCCAGCAACAAUGUAUAUUCUGCUCAUUGAACCUCAUGAUUAGCUCUACAACGAAGCCUUUGAAUGUGCGAUGCUAGGAGUACUUUUAUAGACUCUGUUUCAGAGAGGACUGCAUAAUUGUACUACCAACGCUUGAAACCCAUGGUAGUGGUAGUGCGACAUCGGUUGAUAUUGAGGUAUUCGAGUAGAAUCUUUACCAUCAAUUUGAAGAAAAAUGUUCAAUUCAUGAACUCAAUUUCUCACCAUUUAAAAUAGGGCAAGUCCACAUUGUACAUGGGCUUGAGUUAGUCAAACUCACUAAUGGUUGCAAGCAAUUGAACUUCAAAAGUAUACCUACCCAUUCUGCAAAAUGUGCGUGUAGGAUUAGGCACACUUUAGAGGAAUAAGACUCUCGUCAGAUCCAAGCUUAAAAUAAUAUAUAUCCAUAUCAUACAUAAGUUACGCAACAUACAGCAUAUUUCACCCUUGCACAAUGAAAUGCAAUGAUAUUUCAAUUUCUAAUUUACAUUCCCCCACAGUGGGAUGACAAGCAAAGAUGUAAGAUGUCUGCAUCAUAUAUACAAUGCGAUUAAUUUAGCUCAAUAAAAUUGAAGUUCAGUUUGGGAUAGCUUCAAGAGGUUUAAUAGGAGUGAAGGAACCGGAACACAGAUACAACCAUCAAUUGUAGCAGAUAUUUGCCUUUUAAAACCCUAGUAAGCUCAUAAAAAAAAAA